UUUCAGGUGGGGGGUGGUGUGAGGCAUGAAGCUUCCACUGAUUAUUUGGGGAACUUGGCUGGAACUUCAUUGGAAGUGUCUUCCUCCCCUCACCAGGAGCUGGAAGGGCAGCGUUUGGAGGCACAACAGCUGCUGGCACAAGGGGCAAACUUCCUGGCAGAGGUAGAGAAGGAGCAGGAGAAAAGGCUGCUUGAGAUGAAGCAGGAAGUUGCCACCAUGCAAGCUGACCAAGAAGAGAAAAUCAGCUCCAUCUCAGAACCCCACCAACACCAGUCAAGCGAAAUCUCUGGGACCUUCUGAGAGAGACACUCCAGCAAGACCUGCUCAGAAACGUCCUCUGGCUUCCGACUUGACCAGUCCUGUGACAAGCAAGAAAAGGAGAAUUGGUCACCAGCCCAGUCAUGUCCAGGCAGCAGCUGGUGGCCACUUUUCUUACUUCUUUCUGCCUUCCACAUCCCUUUGCUUUUUGGACAUGCUUCCAAGUGUUGGCUCCAUUUCCCCCUGCACUCAUGUGGUGCAAAAACCAGAGAAAUUUCAGAGUUCCAUCAUCCCAGUGCCUGCCAGGGUGCAGAGGAGAUCCCCAAUUCAAACAGGAAGAAAAAGGAAUUGGGAAGACUGAAGCAGUUGCAUCCCUUGGAUUUCGAUGAAGGAAAAAGAACAGAUACUUCCAUUGCCUCCACAUGCUCUGCAACAAGCAACCAAACAGACUACUUGAGAAAAUACGGAGCCAUUGUCUCCUUGGAGCAACGCCAGCGCUACAAGGACGACUUCAAUGCAGAAUAUGAGGAAUAUCGGAAUUUAUAUUUAAAGAUUGACAAGAUCAUCAAGAAAUUCAGACAAUUUCAGGAGCAAUGGAAGUCUCUGACUCCAGGCUCCAAGGCCUAUCAGAUGCUGCAUUAUCAAAUCCCAGCAGAUUAUCAGCAGUUACAACAGGGUAGCCCCAGCUACUCUGAAAUGAGGAGCAGGUGCCAGUACCUCCACAAGAAGCUGGCCCAUAUUCAGAGCUGCAUUUCUGAAUUUGAGCAGCAGUGAGUGGAGUACUGGCACCAGACAUCGGCUUCAGCAUGGAACAUCUCUGAAAUCAGGAUUUUUUAUUUCAACUAGAAGAUUAGAUUUUUUUAGAAUUCUUUAAAUUAGUACAGAAGAGUAGGUUAUGUUAGCACUGAGUAGUAGGUGAUUUCUUAUAAAUGUAGGAUUAGUUCAAAGAAGUUUAAGUCGAAAGAUGAUAGUAUUGAAAUUUAACAAUAAAGGAAUCUCACUAUUGGUAAUUCCUUCUCUCCUUGUUGCUUGUAUCAUUUGGAUUGGGUUUCUUCUGGUCACUUGUUUUCUUCAAGUCCUAAGUUUGUCCACUGAAAUAAAUUGAUCAGUAGAGGGUGGAAGCCCACUACCUCUACUAUGAAGUUAAGCUCAUUUUAAGAAAAUAUUGUAGCAAAUGGAAAUUCUUUAUGAUAAGUGUAGGGGUGGUUUUUGACCUUUCUUGUUAAUUCAAACUCUUUGCCAAAGUUGUCAAAGGCUUAGAAGUUGGACAACCCUGUCCCCAAAUGACCUUGUUUUGGAGGGUUGCAGAGUAGUGCACAUGGGCUACUCUAAGCUGUUGGC